rnacentral:rRNA from 1 species
UACAGAGGGUGCAAGCGUUGUUCGGAAUUAUUGGGCGUAAAGCGCGUGUAGGUGGUUUGCCAAGUCGGGUGUGAAAGCCCUCAGCUCAACUGAGGAAGUGCGCCCGAAACUAGCGAACUUGAGUGUCGGAGAGGACGGCGGAAUUCCGCAAGUAGAGGUGAAAUUCGUAGAGAUGCGGAGGAACACCAGUGGCGAAGGCGGCCGUCUGGACGACAACUGACACUGAGACGCGAAAGCGUGGGUAGCAAACAGG